UAUACGCAUCAAAUUUGGCUCCAUCAAGUUUAAAUUAAAUCUCAGCAUCUUUCCUUUUUCAUCUUCUACCAACUCCAAAACGCCAUAUUUCGUUUUCCAUCAAAGCUACAAGAAGCACCAAACCUUCAAAAAUGAUUACUUUACUAUCCAUUGAAUGGAGAAAUGGAAAAUCAAAUAUGAGCAGCACCGCAAGGAUGUACAAACAUGGUUGAAAACCUUGAUCUUAUUUUAAAAUUCAAAUGAUUUCUCCUUCGUUUUCCAUCUCACACACACACACACAAAUUCCAUCUACAAAGCCCUCAUAUUUCGGCAUUCGGCGUAAAGAUUCAGAUCCGAUAAUAAGGAGGGUGCCGCCGGUUAGGGUUUCUUCGUGAAACGUUGUAGAGCGUCGUGACGGCUGUUGUUGCGGUUGUUUCUGGCAAUUCGAUAGGGUCACUCAUCCUCUUCUAUAGAGCUGCUGAAGAAACUGGUCCUUUACAUAUAAACUCUGAUACGAAGAAAUUAGUGUUAAUUCUCAUAUGAUUUCUGAAAUAGAUUAGGGCUUUUUAUAGUUAAUGGUUUAUCGAUUAUUCUUUGAAGAAUAUAUUUCACUUGCAGCAAAUAUUGGAUGUGGGUUACGCAUUUGUUUUUACUUAUGUCGUAAUGCCAUCAAUUGAAGCCCUAAUUUGUUGCCGGGGUCUGCUACAGUUGGUGGAUAUUUCGAUUAAGCUGGUUCUGGAAGUGGCGCAAAAGUUGGUGGAGAAUAAGGUUAGAACGCCUUGUGGAUAAUCAAUGGGUUCUCAACAAUUGUCCUCAUAUCACUUUUGACCCUUGCUGUGACGGCCAUGAAGUUAUGUUGUAUGAGUGUUCUGCGUUGAAGUUGCGGAGGUGGUAGCAUCCUGCGUUGUUCUUUGCAAGUCUGAUACCCUUGACUAAAAAGUCUACGAUUCAUCUUCUUCGUCGAUUCAGUAUCAAUCCAUUCGUCACACAGUGAGCUAACUCAGAGGAGCUGAGAAAGUGGAGUUUCUAAAGUCAGAGGGUGUGGAUCAUAUUGUUGAUAUCAGCAAAGAAGGUGUUAUUGAAAGUGUGAAGGCGUUUUUGAAAACAAGAAAGCUCUAAGGGGUUGAUGUUUUAUAUGAUCCAGUUGGAGGCAAGCUUGCAAAAGAAAGCUUAAAGGUGUUGAGUUGGGGAGCACAGAUUUUGGUUAUCGGGUUCACGAGUGGGGUGGUCUCAGUUAUUCCUGUUAAUAUUGCUCUUGUUAAGAAUUGGACGGUUAUUUUUGUAGUUUUGGGCAUCAUUAUUCCACUAUCUGUUUGUAUGGGGCGAUCGGUUUGAAGUGUCUUGCUUUAGAAAACUACCAAAAAUGGCACAUUUUCCCAUUUGUCGCAGGGGACAACGUUUGAACUUCAGAAGCAAAUGGAACCUUGACAAAGAUUGUUGUCUGCAAUUUUUUUAUGGUAGUUCAGUGAUACAGGCAAUUGACGAGUUUAUUUCGUGAGUGCUGCUUCUAAUGAAUUCUUCAAACAUGAGUAUUUCUCUUUUCUAUCGUUUAUUAAUUCUGCUGCUAGACUUCUUCAUCGAAGGUGUUGUCAACCAAUGAAACGAUGAUAUGGAGAUAUUGCAGGACAAAAUUAAUGCUUUGUUGGGACUUAUGCAGAGAUCUAAUGAACGAUAACUUAAAAGACACUUGAAAAGCUUAAAAGAUGAAAUGUCCUCACAAAUUUACGCUCCGAGCUUAUGGCUUUAAAGUCUUGAUUUUUUUAGGUUGAUACUAGUUUUGAACUUGCAUGGUAGUUUUUUAUAUUGUUUUACAUGUUAUUUUUUCUUGUAGAACAAAAAGUCAUGAUUUCUCUAUGUUGAUCACCGAA